rnacentral:tRNA from 1 species
GAGGGGGUAAAUGACACAAAUAGAACUGCUAAUUCCUAUUUACCAGCGUUCGAAUCCCUGGCCACCUCA